UCACACUCCUUUCCAGUAGGUGGCGGGAAUGCACCUUUUAACUUGGUUUGCCAACCGCCAUGAAAUCCUAAAAGAAGAAGACAUUCAUUCCAUGCUGCGACUGUCCUGCAGUCGGUCCUCCGCGAGACGCCACAAUAAACUGGAGUUUUCUACGAAUUUAACAAUUAAAUCGUUUUUACGACCCACGAGACAAUAAUAAUGUCUGACAACGAAGACAAUUUUGAUGACGGAGAUUUCGAUGAUGUUGAAGAUGAAGAGCCUCUGGAUGAUCUGGAGAACGCGGAAGAUGAGGAUCAGGAGAACGUCCAGAUCCUGCCGGCA